CUCGCGGCUAAAGCAGGAAAGUGGCAGGUAAAUCAAGAAAGCGGUCUCGCGUUUUGCAUCUCUCACCUGUCACCCUUUUCCUCCGAGAGAGAGAGACAGAGUGAAGCAAGAAAAGGGUCUCGCACUCUGCACCUCCCAUCGCCGCCGAUGGCAGAAGUAGCAAUUCAUCGCCGCCGAUAGCAACAAGGCUACCCUCUCCAUUGGCAAUGUCCACCACUCCGAUGCUUCCCAAGAGAGCCGUCUAUGCAACAUCGAGCACCAUGCCGGUGACUAUAGUGUUUUCGCUCGAACAUCCAAGGACCACGCUAUCGUCAUCUCCUAUAACCCCGACACUGGAACCAUCAGUGGGAUACUGUUGGGCAGGAAAACUUCAAGGCCAUUUCCAGCAGCUACUACCACAGCACUCAUGGCAUUAUUGAUCGGAAAAUGGGGAGAGUUCUUUGUGGAUCAGCUGAAGAGGGGCUAUACAAAUGACCUGAUGUGCAGGCGCAGCGGCAAAAAGCAGCUCAUGUUGGUCUCAAGUCACCGGUUUCAGUUGUGCAUUCUAUUUUAG